GGAACGGGUGAGUAAGCAAGCUGACUGUGCCAUGGGGUCUGGGACAGGCACUGUAUACUGGGUCUAAUACCAGAUUCGGAUCCUAUGAGGCAUCUGCGAGGUUCGGAAGCUCCUAUGGUUGCGAUGAGCCCUGCGGCUAUCUGCCUGUUGGGGAAGGUACAGGUCGCCAAGGGGACGAAUGCCAGCCCGACUGAGAAGGCGACCGGGCACACUGGGACUGGAAACCGGGCCAGAAUCCUACCGGAGGGAACCAUGGGGAAUAUUGCCCAAUGGGAGAAAGCCUGAUGCAACCACGCCCGCUGGAGCAUGACAGCCUUCGGGUUGUAAACCUUCUGUUGUUAGGAAAAAAACAAAGUGAUUUAACCUGCAGAAGAAGCGCCGGCUAACUACCUGCCAACCCCCGCGUAAAUACGUGCGGCGCACCCGUUGUCCGGAAUUGUGGGACGCGUAGACCUCAAAUGUUGGUUGUAACGUCCGCUGUGAAAGCCCUGGGAUUAUGAUCUUAACUGCCGGCGAUAAAGCUCGGCUCGCAUUCGAAACUGGAUAUCUGAAUUGCUGGAGAAGAAAUGAAAUGUCCACAUGUCACGAUGAACUGCGUUG
rnacentral:rRNA from 1 species